rnacentral:rRNA from 1 species
UUGUCCCGCCAGGGGCACAGCUGGGUAGCCAUGUCUGGCAGGGAUAAGCGCUGAAAGCAUCUAAGCGCGAAACCCGCCCCAAGAUAAGGUUUCCCACCAUCUGGAGGUUAGAGGUUAGAAGUUAGAGGUUGGAGAAUCCAACUUCCAACAUCCGGCCUCCAACCUCCAGAUGGGUAAGAUCCCUGGUAGACUACCAGGUAGAUAGGCCGGAAGUGUAAGCCGGGUAACCGGUUGAGCUGACCGGUACUAAUCGAUCGAGGUCUUGACCUGA